rnacentral:rRNA from 1 species
CCGUGAGAUGUCCUGUNAAGUCAGGUANCGAGCGAGAUCCCCUGCCGCUAGUUGCUAUCAUUAUUCUCAGGAAUAGUGGAGCGAAUUAGUGGGACUGCCGUUGUUAAAACGGAGGAAGGAAGGGGCUACGGCAGGUCAGUAUGCCCCGAAACUCUGGGGCCACACGCGGGCUGCAAUGGUAGUGACAAUGAGUUCCAAACUCGAAAGAGAGUGGCAAUCUCUAAACGCUACCACAGUUAUGACUGAGGGCUGUAACUCGCCCUCACGAAUAUGGAAUCCCUAGUAACCGCGUGUCAUUACCGCGCGGUGAAUACGUCCCUGCUCCUUGCACACACCGCCCGUCGUUUCAUCGAAGUUUGCUUUUAACGAGGUGAUGUUUAAUUGGCAUUAUCGAAUUUGAGGUAAGCGACGAGGGAAAAGUCGUAACAAGGUA